rnacentral:rRNA from 1 species
AGGGCACCACCAGGAGUGGAGCCUGCGGCUUAAUUUGACUCAACACGGGAAAACUCACCCGGCCCGGACACUGAAAGGAUUGACAGAUUGAGAGCUCUUUCUUGAUUCAGUGGGUGGUGGUGCAUGGCCGUUCUUAGUUGGUGGAGCGAUUUGUCUGGUUAAUACCGAUAACGAACGAGACUCUAGCCUACUAAAUAGAUCGCCGGCUUACCCACGCCGGCGAGACUUCUUAGAGGGACAGGUGGCGUUUCAGCCACACGAAACAGAGCAAUAACAGGUCUGUGAUGCCCUUAGAUGUCCGGGGCCGCACGCGCGCUACACUGAAGUGAUCAGCGUGCUUAUUAAGCCUACUCUGCCAAGAGUGGGAAACCCAAUGAAUCUUCUUCGUGAUUGGGAUAGGAGAUUGUAAUUAUUCUCCUUGAACGAGGAAUUCCCAGUAAGCGCGAGCCAUAAGCUUGCGUCGAUUACGUCCCUGCCCUUUGUACACACCGCCCGUCGCUACUACCGAUCGAGUGAUUU